rnacentral:rRNA from 1 species
GUGACCCUACGGGGGGCAGCAGUGAGGAAUAUUGGUCAAUGGUCGGGAGACUGAACCAGCCAAGCCGCGUGAGGGAUGAAGGUACAGAGUAUCGUAAACCUCUUUUGUCAGGGAACAAAGGCGGGGACGCGUCCCCGGAUGAGUGUACCUGAAGAAAAAGCAUCGGCUAACUCCGUGCCAGCAGCCGCGGUAAUACGGAGGAUGCGAGCGUUAUCCGGAUUUAUUGGGUUUAAAGGGUGCGCAGGCGGGAGAUCAAGUCCGCGGUAAAAUUUCGGGGGUCAAACCCGGCCGGCCGUUGAAAAUGG